GACGUAGGUGGCGAACGUUAUCCGGAAUCAUUGGGCGUAAAGGGUGCGUAGGCGGGUCUUUAAGUCAGGGGUGAAAUCCUGGAGCUCAACUCCAGAACUGCCUUUGAUACUGAGGAUCUUGAGUUCGGGAGAGGUGAGUGGAACUGCGAGUGUAGAGGUGAGAUUCGUAGAUAUUCGCAAGAACACCAGUGGCGAAGGCGGCUCACUGGCCCGAUACUGACGCUGAGGCACGAAAGCGUGGGGAGCAAACAGG
rnacentral:rRNA from 1 species